rnacentral:rRNA from 1 species
AGGGGUUUGAUCAUCGGGCUCAGGAUUGAACGCUGGCGGCAUGCCUAACACAUGCAAGUCGAACGGUAACGUACGCGAGCUUGCUCCCGGGCGACGAGUGGCGGACGGGUGAGUAAUACUUAGGAAUCUGCCCAGUAGUGGGGGACAACUCGAGGAAACUCGAGCUAAUACCGCAUACGCCCUACGGGGGAAAGCGGAGGAUCUUCGGACUUCGCACUAUUGGGUGAGCCUAAGUCAGAUUAGCUUGUUGGUGGGGUAAAGGCCUACCAAGGCAACGAUCUGUAGCUGGUCUGAGAGGACGAUCAGCCACACUGGGACUGAGACACGGCCCAGACUCCUACGGGAGGCAGCAGUGGGGAAUAUUGGACAAUGGGGGCAACCCUGAUCCAGCAAUGCCGCGUGUGUGAAGAAGGCCUGCGGGUUGUAAAGCACUUUCAGUAGAGAAGAAAAGCUUACGGUUAAUACCCGUGAGUCUUGACGUAACCUACAGAAGAAGCACCGGCUAACUCCGUGCCAGCAGUCGCGGUUAAUACGGAGGGUGCAAGCGUUCAAUCGGAAUUACUGGG